rnacentral:sRNA from 1 species
UGAAUUCUUCAAAAACAAAACAGUUGUAUUUGUUGGAUCGUCUUUCUUAAAUGCGAUUGAUGAGUCAUGCAUGGAGUUUUUGGAUGAUAAAGAGGGAUUUCAGUUUCCAUCUGAAGAAAUCUGUAAGCUGAUAAUAGAGGAAGAAACCAAGUGCAUAUUGGCUCCUUUCUAU